UACGUAGGGUGCAAGCGUUGUCCGGAAUUAUUGGGCGUAAAGAGCUCGUAGGCGGUUUGUCGCGUCUGCUGUGAAAACUCGGGGCUUAACCCCGGGCCUGCAGUGGGUACGGGCAGACUAGAGUGCGGUAGGGGAGACUGGAAUUCCUGGUGUAGCGGUGGAAUGCGCAGAUAUCAGGAGGAACACCGAUGGCGAAGGCAGGUCUCUGGGCCAUUACUGACACUGAGAAGUGAAAGCAUGGGGAGCGAACAGG
rnacentral:rRNA from 1 species